AGUGAACGCUGGCGGUAGGCCUAACACAUGCAAGUCGAACGGCAGCACAGUAAGAGCUUGCUCUUACGGGUGGCGAGUGGCGGACGGGUGAGGAAUACAUCGGAAUCUACUUUUUCGUGGGGGAUAACGUAGGGAAACUUACGCUAAUACCGCAUACGACCUACGGGUGAAAGCAGGGGAUCUUCGGACCUUGCGCGAUUGAAUGAGCCGAUGUCGGAUUAGCUAGUUGGCGGGGUAAAGGCCCACCAAGGCGACGAUCCGCAGCUGGUCUGAGAGGAUGAUCAGCCACACUGGAACUGAGACACGGUCAAGACUCCUACGGGAGGCAGCAGUGGGGAAUAUUAGACAAUGGGGGCAAGCCUGAUCCAGCCAUACCGCGUGGGUGAAGAAGGCCUUCGGGUUGUAAAGACCUUUUGUUGGGAAAGAAAAGCAGCAGGUUAAUACCCCGCUGUUCUGACGGUACCCAAAGAAUAAGCACCGGCUAACUUCGUG
rnacentral:rRNA from 1 species